GGACUACCCGGGUAUCUAAUCCUGUUUGCUCCCCUUGCUUUCGCUCCUCAGCGUCAGGAAUAAAAUAGAAAAGCGCCUUCGCCACCGGUGUUCUUCCACAUAUCUACGCAUUUCACCGCUACACGUGGAAUUCCCUUUUCUCCUUCCAUCCUCUAGAGUGGGAGUUUUAGAUGCGGGUCCGAAGUUGAGCCCCGGGAUUUCACAUCUAACUUUCCACUCAGCCUACGUGCUCUUUACGCCCAAUAAAUCCGAUUAACGCUUGCACCCUCCGUAUUACCGCGGCUGCUGGCAC
rnacentral:rRNA from 1 species